UACAGAGGGUGCGAGCGUUGUCCGGAAUCACUGGGCGUAAAGGGCGCGUAGGUGGCACUUUAAGCGUGCGGUGAAAUCGCGGGGCUCAACCCCGCGUCGGCCGUGCGAACUGAAGGGCUCGAGCACUGUAGAGGCGGGUGGAAUUCCGGGUGUAGCGGUGGAAUGCGUAGAGAUCCGGAAGAACACCGGUGGCGAAGGCGGCCCGCUGGGCAGUGGCUGACACUGAGGCGCGACAGCGUGGGGAGCAAACAGG
rnacentral:rRNA from 1 species